GAAACUAGAAUUAAUCUCAAUAUGAACUAAUAUCAAGUUAAUCUAGUUGAGAAUUAACAAACAACAACAACAACAACAACAACAAAGUACAAUCCCACUUAGUGGGGUCUGGGGAGGGUAGUAUGUACGCAGACCUUACCCCUACCCUGGGGUAGAGAUGUUGUUUCCAAAUAGACCCCCGGCAUCUCGAACUCACAACCUCUCGGUUGGAAGUGGGGGUUGUUUACCAUCAGGGAAAUAACAAACAAGAAUAAAUAAUUAACGGGAAAGAAAAGAGAAAACUGGACAGAACAAUUUCUGAGCUUCUGAACUCCUCUCUGGACUUGUUGCAAUUUGCUGGAUUCCUUUCUCGAAACUUCAAUUUUCCAGCUUCAAAUCCUUUCCUAAGCCCCUAAAUCCUCAGCUCAAACUCUCGUCCAAAACUGCAGAUUUUCAGCAGCUCAAUUAGGGGAGAAACAGGGUAGAAAUUUGCUCUCAAACACUACCCCAAUGCUACUGAUUUCCUAGCUCAAAUGAUGUCAAAGCUGCAAAUUUUAGCAGCUCGAAUUGGUGGAGAAACUAUGUAGAAUACUAUGCAAAUUUCAGCAGACCUGUUCAGUUCAAAUUGGGCAGAAAGCCAGCUCAAACUAUGGAGAAAUAAUAGUGCAGAAAUUUCUGUCCAAACUAUCCAGAAAACUGCUGCUGAACAGGGCAGAAAUUCAGCUCAAAAUGUGCAGAUAUCAGCAGCUAAACUGGGCACAAACAGUGCAGAGUUUGGCUCCCUCAAACUAUGCAAUAACUCUCUAACAAGUAUAGAACUUUUGGUGCAACUGAUGCUCACACAACAUAUGCAAAACUGCAACUCAAGCUAGCAGAAAUUGCAGCUGAAACUACUCAAAAGUGCAGCAAACUGGACAGAAACAUGUACAAGUUAAAGAAACUAACAGAACUGGUCUACCCAAGCUGCUGAAACAGUACCAAAUUUAGCUUUUGAACUGGCAGAAACCUUUCUCAAACUGUAUUUUGUUGUUAAACAAUGUAGAUUUCAGCAGCUCUAAUCUGAUUCAGAAACUCAAUCAAAAUCCCAAAAUUGAGUCCCAAGUAUUUCAGUCUAAUACCAAUUCCAGAAUUCAACCAACAGCAAUGAAUUAGAAAUCCAAUAACCAGAGAAACUAUCAAGUCGAACUCACAUAAUCAGUCCAACAAUCUCCAAGAAAUUUUACAGCAAAUAGUUUCAACCAAUGGCAGCCUCAAGUCGAACUAUGAAUUCAGUUCAAUACUCGAAAAAAAAUCAAGCUUAAACAAUGUUAGUCGAAUUCACGGAUUCAAAUCGAUCGAUCCCAAAUAAUAGUAAUGAAAUUCAGUCUUCUAUUCGAUUAAUCAAUCGAAAAUGCCUCAGAAUCCAGAAAAUGACACAAGUUUAAGCAUAGAGGAAUCAGACCUGAUGCAUCGAGGAGUGCGGAGGCUACGUAAUAGCUUCAGGCACUCAACUGUAGAAAUUCGAUUGUCGAGCAAUCCUCAAACAAAUGAACCCAAGCUUCAGCCACAACUUCCCGACACCAAUUAGAAUAAAACCCCAGAACCAGUUUGUUCAGACACUCAUGAAAACAACGAACCCUAGGUCGUCUUCUCUGUUAACCCGCUUAGCAACUUUGAACCAAAACCCUAUUAAAUCAGUUUCAAUCGAGCUAAUCCUUCCAAUUUAGCUUUGGUAUUAAUGUCUCGACAAGAAUCAGUUACGCCCCGUCGAUUCCGAGCCCCAAUUUUAGAUUUCAAAUGAAACCUAGCUUCUUCGAUGAGCUCGGCAAUGGCGGGGUUCAAAUUGUGCUCUGAUUCAAUCGUAACUCCGAAUUUUCAGCUCAAAUUAGCAGAUUAAACUCUGAGAAUGAAGGAAUCAGAAUUUUCAGAAUAAAAAUCCUUAGAGAAUAAGGAAUUCGAUUUUUUUUGCAGUAUACACACAAAACAAUGAUAAACAAUAUGAACAGUGACCUUUCUAUUUUUGGAUUUUUUUUAAAAUUUUGCUAGUUGUUGAUAAUCAAAACAAAGAGCCCAGGAUUAAUACAACAAUCCAAAACCUCCUCUCUGAAACUAAGAUGAUAUGAACUAUGAAUCAAAACACGAAUAUGAUAAAAUACACGAAAUCAAUAAUAAGAGCUAGACCUAAAAUUGAUUGAAAGAACAAGACCAAGUAAGCUCUGAAGCCUAAUUACCUUUAAGAACUCAAUCGAUUAUAAUCAUAAGCUAUGAAAAUCCUCAAGAGAUAAGCAACUCUUAAAAACCCGAAUAAAUUAAUUAAGCAAUUAAGCAUUCACUACUAAUUGCCCACCAACUAAGACUAAUUUAGUAUUAAUGAAAGCAUAAACAAAGUAAUAAAGGAAUUAAAAGCAUACACAUAAAUGCAUUAAUUAAAAGAUAAGGAAAGAGUGCAAAACUUGCAUGUCUAAUUUUACAAGCAAUAAAACUUAGCUAUUUAUAUUAUUAGUAUUUUAGAUACAAGAAAUUCCUAAAAAGUGACUUAGAAUGUAAAUUAGCCAUUUUGGGUAGAACCUACUCCAAGUUCAUCCCCUGCCUCAAUUCUUGGUCUUCAAACCAUUGGAACACAUUAUCAUGUGUAUGGGACUUCUCUAAAACUCCUUCGGAUGCUUCAAGCUUCAUAAUCAACAAUCCAAGAUCUUGCAAUUCCUUUGCUUGGCUUCUUGUGAAUGGUGUAGAUGAAAUAGUUGAAUAUCGGGCUGUAUCAGUCUUCCUUAUUUCUUUACUCGCCUUUGUUUAUUUACUUCUUCCUUUUCUUCUCUACGCAUCAAAUUCUCUUAUCGCUUUUCUGUCUUCGUUAAAAAUUAUGCUGCUGAAUUUUUCUUAGUGACUUGCUAUGCUGACAACCAGUGAGCUCUGUUCUGUGACCUUCUUGCCA
rnacentral:lncRNA from 1 species